rnacentral:rRNA from 1 species
UACGUAGGGGGCAAGCGUUGUCCGGAUUUAUUGGGCGUAAAGAGCGUGUAGGCGGCUGGGUAGGUCCGUUGUGAAAACUCGAGCUCAACCUCGAGACGCCGAUGGAAACCCCCCAGCUAGAGUCCGGAAGAGGAGAGUGGAAUUCCUGGUGUAGCGGUGAAAUGCGCAGAUAUCAGGAAGAACACCCGUGGCUAAGGCGGCUCUCUAGUACGGUACUGACGCUGAGACGCGAAAGCGUGGGGAGCGAACAGGG